AAUUAAAAUUUGCAUGUAAUUUUCCAUAAGAGAGAUUUUAUUUUUAAUUUUUAUAUAUUUAAAGUGCUUUUUAGUCACCCAAGUGGACUUUUUUUGAAAAAAUUGUAGUUUUUAAACAACACAAUUGAAAAACUGAUGCUUAUUUACAUCAUGGCAGCAAAAUAUGUAAUUAAAUCGAGCGAAAUUGUCAACUUUUUUAAAGAUGAAGAAAAGCUCAUCAGCAGUGGUGAAAAUGCUGUUGAAUCAGGUCAUGUUACCAAUUUAAUUUGAGAUGCUGAGCUUCAUCUUGUUACAGGAAAAGUUUAUGCAAGCAUGAGGGAUCGUCAAUAUAAUCUUAAGAUUGAUUUUGAUACUGAUUGGGCUAUAAACUCAACAAGUUGUAGCAGCCCUAGAGGUCAGCUAUGCUGAUAUUACAUAGCAGCACUACUUUUUGCUCGGGAUAAUAUUUCCAUUAGUGACAAAACAUUAUAUUCCAUUUUUAUUAGGGGAAAAAACAUACAAGUAAUUAAUGUAUACCUAUAGUAAUACUUGUAAGAUUAUAUUGUUUUUUGGCAUAUUUUUAGUAACAUUUAGAAGUACAUAAUUAUAAUAUUAAAGUAGUAGAUAAUAUAACAUUAAUAUAAAACACUUAAACUUGUUCAUUUAUGAAGUAAAAAUAAACAUGUAAGUACCUACUUACCUACCAUGUUGGUUGAGGGGGACAAACAGUUUGAUUACUCAUAUUUACACAAGGAAGAGCUAGGUAAUAUAUUUAUAAAAUAAAAA